CGGCGUCCGCGGUAUGCGUGUGCUUGUGUCGUGUGUCGUGCCGGUCGUGUCGUGCAUCGUUCGUCGUACGUCGUAACUGAUACAAGUUACAACACGUUAGCUGCUAUCCGUCCUCAUUGUCCGCAACGAUCGACGGUAUUUGACUAAAAUGAGAAAAAUAACAAAUUUGUCUAUUCAAGAAUUAGGAACAAAAAUCGAGGAAAUAACAGAUGAGGAGACACGAAAAAAGUUUGAAGGUGUAAAAAUUUCAUUAAAAUAUAUCAGCAAUGGAGCCUUUGAAAUGUUUUAUGUGUCGUAAUACUGUAAAGGGGGAGUUAAAUGGUUUGGCAAAACAUUUUACAAUAGUACAUGGUUUGACACUCAAACACGGAAUAGACAAAGUUGGGUUUCAAAGUGGUCAA